rnacentral:tRNA from 1 species
GCUGCGGGAGGCCCGCUUCGACGACGGCGGGCCGCUGGAGCCGGCCGGCCUGCGGCAGGCCGAGCGGGCCGCCGGUGCGCUGCCGGCCGCCGCCC